rnacentral:misc_RNA from 1 species
GGGACAACAGAUGUUAGUUGCAAGCAGCCCUGUAAAAAUCAGGGUAAUUCUUUAGAGGAGAAUGGUGUUGUAGAUCAGUUUCAAAAUGCUAGUUUGUCUGUAGGAAGUGGCAAAAGUUUAUGGCAAUCAAAUUUAGGGAAAAGGACAAUUCAGAAUGUUGCCACAUGUGAAAGCUCUUCCAAAGAAGUAGGUAUCGUUUUUGGUUCUGACAAUGGCCACAAUAUUUCAGGAGAGAUUAAAAUUUCCAGCCAUGAGGCUAUUGAUGAAAUUCUUGAGAGGGCAUCUUCAGAUAGUGUUAGUGUACCUCUUGAGAAUGUUCCUACAGGAGGA